UACGUAGGGUGCAAGCGUUGUCCGGAAUUAUUGGGCGUAAAGAGCGUGUAGGCGGCCCGAUUAGUCCGCUGUGAAAGUCCAGGGCUCAACCCUGGAAUGCCGGUGGAUACUGUCGGGCUAGAGUCCGGAAGGGGCGAGUGGAAUUCCCGGUGUAGCGGAUGAAAUGCGUAGAUAUCAGGAGGAACACCUGUGGCGAAAGCGGCUCACUGGACCAUACUGACGCUGAUGCACGAAAGCUAGGGGAGCAAACAGG
rnacentral:rRNA from 1 species